rnacentral:rRNA from 1 species
GAUGAACGCUGGCGGCGUGCUUAACACAUGCAAGUCGAACGAUGAAGCCCAGCUUGCUGGGUGGAUUAGUGGCGAUCGGGUGAGUAACACGUGAGUAACCUGCCCUUAACUCUGGGAUAAGCCUGGGAAACUGGGUCUAAUACCGGAUAGGAGCGUCCACCGCAUGGUGGGUGUUGGAAAGAUUUAUCGGUUUUGGAUGGACUCGCGGCCUAUCAGCUUGUUGGUGAGGUAAUGGCUCACCAAGGCGACGACGGGUAGCCGGCCUGAGAGGGUGACCGGCCACACUGGGACUGAGACACGGCCCAGACUCCUACGGGAGGCAGCAGUGGGGAAUAUUGCACAAUGGGCGCAAGCCUGAUGCAGCGACGCCGCGUGAGGGAUGACGGCCUUCGGGUUGUAAACCUCUUUCAGUAGGGAAGAAGCGAAAGUGACGGUACCUGCAGAAGAAGCACCGGCUAACUACGUG